rnacentral:rRNA from 1 species
CGUGCUUAACACAUGCAAGUCGAACGGAAAGGCCCUGCUUUUGUGGGGUGCUCGAGUGGCGAACGGGUGAGUAACACGUGAGUAACCUGCCCUUGACUUUGGGAUAACUUCAGGAAACUGGGGCUAAUACCGGAUAGGAGCUCCUGCUGCAUGGUGGGGGUUGGAAAGUUUCGGCGGUUGGGGAUGGACUCGCGGCUUAUCAGCUUGUUGGUGGGGUAGUGGCUUACCAAGGCUUUGACGGGUAGCCGGCCUGAGAGGGUGACCGGCCACAUUGGGACUGAGAUACGGCCCAGACUCCUACGGGAGGCAGCAGUGGGGAAUAUUGCACAAUGGGCGGAAGCCUGAUGCAGCAACGCCGCGUGCGGGAUGACGGCCUUCGGGUUGUAAACCGCUUUCGCCUGUGACGAAGCGUGAGUGACGGUAAUGGGUAAAGAAGCACCGGCUAACUACGUGCCAGCAGCCGCGGUGAUACGUAGGGUGCGAGCGUUGUCCGGAUUUAUUGGGCGUAAAGGGCUCGUAGGUGGUUGAUCGCGUCGGAAGUGUAAUCUUGGGGCUUAACCCUGAGCGUGCUUUCGAUACGGGUUGACUUGAGGAAGGUAGGGGAGAAUGGAAUUCCUGGUGGAGCGGUGGAAUGCGCAGAUAUCAGGAGGAACACCAGUGGCGAAGGCGGUUCUCUGGGCCUUUCCUGACGCUGAGGAGCGAAAGCGUGGGGAGCGAACAGGCUUAGAUACCCUGGUAGUCCACGCUGUAAACGGUGGGUACUAGGUGUGGGGUCCAUUCCACGGGUUCCGUGCCGUAGCUAACGCUUUAAGUACCCCGCCUGGGGAGUACGGCCGCAAGGCUAAAACUCAAAGGAAUUGACGGGGCCCCGCACAAGCGGCGGAGCAUGCGGAUUAAUUCGAUGCAACGCGUAGAACCUUACCUGGGUUUGACAUGGAUCGGGAGUGCUCAGAGAUGGGUGUGCCUCUUUUGGGGUCGGUUCACAGGUGGUGCAUGCCUGUCGUCAGCUCGUGUCGUGAGAUGUUGGGUUAAGUCCCGCAACGAGCGCAACCCUUGUUCACUGUUGCCAGCACGUUAUGGUGGGGACUCAGUGGAGACCGCCGGGGUCAACUCGGAGGAAGGUGGGGAUGACGUCAAGUCCUCAUGCCCCUUAUGUCCAGGGCUUCACGCAUGCUACAAUGGCUGGUACAGAGAGUGGCGAGCCUGUGAGGGUGAGCGAAUCUCGGAAAGCCGGUCUCAGUUCGGAUUGGGGUCUGCAACUCGACCUCAUGAAGUCGGAGUCGCUAGUAAUCGCAGAUCAGCAACGCUGCGGUGAAUACGUUCCCGGGGCUUGUACACACCGCCCGUCAAGUCAUGAAAGUUGGUAACACCCGAAGCCGGUGGCCUAACCGUUGUGGGGGAGCCGUCGAAGGUGGGACUGGUGAUUAGGACUAAGUCAUAACAA